rnacentral:piRNA from 1 species
UACAAUGCAUUCGACAGUCAGCGCCCUCUC